GAUGAACGCUGGCGGCGUGUCUAAGGCAUGCAAGUCGAAUGGGUUUAGACCCAUGGCAAACGGGUGCGUAACACAUUGGUAACCUACCUCGAAGUUCAGAAUAACCCUCCGAAAGGAGGAAUAAUACUGGAUGUGCUCGAUCUUCAUAUGGAGAUCGCGUAAAGAUUUAUCGCUUCGAGAGGGACCUAUGGCCUAUCAGCUAGUUGGUGAGAUAAUAGCUCACCAAGGCUAUGACGGGUAGCGGGUGUGAGAGCAUGACCCGCCUCACUGGGACUGAGACACUGCCCAGACACCUACGGGUGGCUGCAGUCAAGAAUAUUCCUCAAUGGACGAAAGUCUGAAGGAGCGACGCCGCGUGACUGAUGAAGUCCU
rnacentral:rRNA from 1 species